rnacentral:rRNA from 1 species
AGAGUUUGAUCCUGGCUCAGAUUGAACGCUGGCGGCAGGCCUAACACAUGCAAGUCGAGCGGUAACACAGGGAGCUUGCUCCUGGGUGACGAGCGGCGGACGGGUGAGUAAUGUCUGGGAAACUGCCCGAUGGAGGGGGAUAACUACUGGAAACGGUAGCUAAUACCGCAUAACGUCGCAAGACCAAAGAGGGGGACCUUCGGGCCUCUUGCCAUCGGAUGUGCCCAGAUGGGAUUAGCUAGUAGGUGGGGUAACGGCUCACCUAGGCGACGAUCCCUAGCUGGUCUGAGAGGAUGACCAGCCACACUGGAACUGAGACACGGUCCAGACUCCUACGGGAGGCAGCAGUGGGGAAUAUUGCACAAUGGGCGCAAGCCUGAUGCAGCCAUGCCGCGUGUAUGAAGAAGGCCUUCGGGUUGUAAAGUACUUUCAGCGAGGAGGAAGGCAUUAAGGUUAAUAACCUUGGUGAUUGACGUUACUCGCAGAAGAAGCACCGGCUAACUCCGUGCCAGCAGCCGCGGUAAUACGGAGGGUGCAAGCGUUAAUCGGAAUUACUGGGCGUAAAGCGCACGCAGGCGGUCUGUCAAGUCGGAUGUGAAAUCCCCGGGCUCAACCUGGGAACUGCAUUCGAAACUGGCAGGCUAGAGUCUUGUAGAGGGGGGUAGAAUUCCAGGUGUAGCGGUGAAAUGCGUAGAGAUCUGGAGGAAUACCGGUGGCGAAGGCGGCCCCCUGGACAAAGACUGACGCUCAGGUGCGAAAGCGUGGGGAGCAAACAGGAUUAGAUACCCUGGCAGUCCACGCCGUAAACGAUGUCGAUUUGGAGGUUGUUCCCUUGAGGAGUGGCUUCCGGAGCUAACGCGUUAAAUCGACCGCCUGGGGAGUACGGCCGCAAGGUUAAACUCAAAUGAAUUGACGGGGGCCCGCACAGCGGUGGAGC